rnacentral:rRNA from 1 species
GACGAACGCUGGCGGCGUGCUUAACACAUGCAAGUCGAACGAAGAGCGAUGGAAGCUUGCUUCUAUCAAUCUUAGUGGCGAACGGGUGAGUAACGCGUAAUCAACCUGCCCUUCAGAGGGGGACAACAGUUGGAAACGACUGCUAAUACCGCAUACGAUCCAAUCUUGGCAUCGGGACUGGAUGAAAGGUGGCCUCUAUUUAUAAGCUAUCACUGAAGGAGGGGAUUGCGUCUGAUUAGCUAGUUGGAGGGGUAACGGCCCACCAAGGCGAUGAUCAGUAGCCGGUCUGAGAGGAUGAACGGCCACAUUGGGAAUGGGACACGGCCCAGACUCCUACGGGAGGCAGCAGGGGGGAAUCUUCCGCAAUGGACGAAAGUCUGACGGAGCAACGCCGCGUGAGUGAUGACGGCCUUCGGGUUGUAAAGCUCUGUUAAUCGGGACGAAUGGUUCUUGUGCGAAUAGUGCGAGGAUUUGACGGUACCGGAAUAGAAAGCCACGGCUAACUACGUG